rnacentral:rRNA from 1 species
GAUGAACGCUAGCGGAAGGCAUAAUACAUGCAAGUCGAACGGAUGUAGCAAUACAUUAGUGGCGCACGGGUGCGUAACGCGUAUGCAACCUACCUUCAUCAGAGGGAUAGCUACCCGAAAGGGUGGCUAACACCGCAUAAUACUACUGACUGGCAUCAUUUGGUACUUAAAUCUGAGGAGGAUGAAGAUGGGCAUGCGUCUGAUUAGCUAGUUGGUGUGGUAACGGAGCACAAAGGCGACGAUCAGUAGGGGAACUGAGAGGUUGGUCCCCCACACUGGAACUGAGAUACGGGCCAGACUCCUACGGGAGGCAGCAGUAGGGAAUAUUGGUCAAUGGUGGGAACACUGAACCAGCCAUUCCGCGUGCAGGAAGAAGGGUCUCUGACUUGUAAACUGCUUUAGCAAGGGAAGAAAAAGCUCAUGCGUGAGAAAUUGACGGUACCUUGAGAAUAAGCACCGGCUAACUACGUGCCAGCAGCCGCGGUAAGAC